GAUCCAAGGUUAACCCUUGACUCAACCACAUUGAGCAACAUGGAGCCCACUUUAGAUCCAGUCAUGUUGGACUGCUUGGAGUCCACUUCCAGAAAAACCAGAACUGAACCAACUGAUUCCCAGCAGAACACCGCACCUAAAGCCAGUACAGCUUCUUUAAAGUUCUCCAAUAAAAAGAAAGCUGGAAAGGAGAGAAGCAAGUGGAGAGAUGAGGAAAUAACUGCAGUUGAACGACACCUGUUACCUUUCAUCACUGGUUUCAAGGUACCAGGUAAACGGGACUGUGAGGCGUGCCUCCAGGCAGAGCCAGUAGCUCUAAAGGACAGAGACUGGGCUGCUGUCAAAUUCUAUAUUUACAACAGAGUGGUGGCAUUAAAAAGAAGAUUGAACAAAUAGAACUGUAAAAUUGUGACAAAUUCUGAGGUGCAAUUUUAUUUUUGAUGGACAUUUUAAUGUAUUU